AGUCGCCAAUUAAAAGGAGAUAUUUUCGCAAUUUUUGUUAUAGCCCUUGCGGCUGCUGAAGCCGCUAUUGGACUAUCCAUUCUUUCUUCCAUCCAUCGUAAUAGGAAAUCCACUAGUAUCAAUCAAUCUAAUUUAUUGAAUAAUUAG
rnacentral:rRNA from 1 species